rnacentral:rRNA from 1 species
ACGAAGGGGGCUAGCGUUGUUCGGAAUUACUGGGCGUAAAGCGCGCGUAGGCGGGCUGUUAAGCCAGAUGUGAAAGCCCAGAGCUCAACUCUGGAAUUGCAUUUGGAACUGGCAGCCUAGAGACCAGGAGAGGUUAGCGGAAUACCGAGUGUAGAGGUGAAAUUCGUAGAUAUUCGGUGGAACACCAGUGGCGAAGGCGGCUAACUGGACUGGUACUGACGCUGAGGCGCGAAAGUGUGGGGAGCAAACAGG